rnacentral:lncRNA from 1 species
UUUGAAGUCCCACAUUGCUUAGGUUCCCGGGAUGUGAAGUGUAUAAAUAUGUGAGGGCAACCUCACCCUUUGAGCUAGCUUUUGGGGUUGAGAUCCAAGCAUAUUUAACAGUAUGAAUGCAUGUCUACGCAUAAUUCCCAAGGCAAACCCANNAUUCCUUUCAAAUUCCAAGAUUGCAUAAGCAUUUCAAUCAAAGCAGUUGUCAACAAUUCAUUUCUAUCGACCAAAGAACUCCAUAAACACACAUUUAUCUCCUUCCCAUUAUUAUAUCUAUCCACACUUGGUUGCAUCAUGCGAUGAAUUAUAAUAACUAUCCUUGUAUAUUCCCCCACUUCCAAGAAUAACAAAUACUCCCUCAAUUUUUCCAAGUAAUUCAUGAAAAGAAAUAUUGCAAAUAUGCUCCAACAGAGACAAGAGAACCUAUCUGAUGCAGCUACUAUCCUUAUAAUCAAUGGUAUAACUCUGUCACUUCUAAAAGCA